rnacentral:misc_RNA from 1 species
GAUGAAGAACGCAGCAAAAUGCGAUAAGUAAUGUGAAUUGCAGAAUUCAGUGAAUCAUCGAAUCUUUGAACGCACAUUGCGCCCGCUAGUAUUCUGGCGGGCAUGCCUGUCCGAGCGUCAUUUCAACCCUCAAGCCCCCGGGCUUGGUGUUGGGGAUCGGCGAGCCUCCGCGCCCGCCGUCCCCUAAAUCUAGUGGCGGUCUCGCUGUAGCUUCCUCUGCGUAGUAGCACACCUCGCACUGGGAAACAGCGCGGCCACGCCGUUAAACCCCCAACUUCUGAACGUUUGACCUCGGAUCAGGUAGGAAUACCCGCUGAACUUAAGCAUAUCAAUAAGCGGAGGA